rnacentral:sRNA from 12 species
ACCCCGUUGACGGAUUGAACGCUAACUGUGAGCGAGACACAGGCGGGGU